GAGUAGCUGAAAUGAAUGCUCGGGAAGUUAUGGAGCGAAAGGAUACGAUACCAGUGAUGAAUGCCAAAGCCCUGCUGCCUGUGGAGACGGUGAUGCUUGACUUUAUUGUACAGCUGCAGUUUGUGUGAUGAAGGUGCUCCCACAGUGUGGUUGGAUUCCACCAUCUGACAAGCUGGGAUUCGAACAGGGAUUUCAGUUGUACAUUUUAAUAUUCUGGAUAAAAGGAUACUACAGGUGGACAUUCAGAUGGUAAACUCAGUCAUUGUAACUCUGAUUGAAUUAGUCAGUUCAUCAGGACUAGGAUAUUCGCAUUGUGUGGUUCUGAAAGGGCAGAUUUGUGGAUGAGAAAUUCAAAUGUUCGGUUUUGAUGGUUACUUGAUCCGUGCCGGUCUGAAUAUCAUUGGCCUUUUCAUAUGGAA